ensembl:snoRNA SNORD115 Small nucleolar RNA SNORD115
GGGUCAAUGAUGAGAACACAGAUGGUCUUGAAAAACAAUGAUGACCUGAACUCGUACUGAAUAAAAUUACAUUGAGACCC